AAAGUCCUGAGGUGUUUGUAGAAUACUAUACGUUUUGAGCCAACAUUUUUAAUAUGGGAGCUUGAAGUUUUAGCUUGGCGUGCAAGCCUUCACGAGAGGAAGUACAAAGAGUUAAACAGAGCACCCACCUGCUUAGGCAGGUUCAAAACUAUGUAUUAUACGGCAUAUCGGGACUUUA
rfam:Anaerobacillus sp. NB2006 Ga0137927_1134, whole genome shotgun sequence.